GCUGAAGUAGCUCAGUUGGGAGAGCCUUAAACUGAAGAUCUAAUAGUGCCUGAAUCAUUUCCAGCCUUUGGCA
rnacentral:tRNA from 1 species